UUUUUCUGCAUUCUCAUCAGCUAAAACACCAUGGAAGGGUUUCUUCAAGCUGGUUCUUCAUAUUUUUACUGCAAUGUUAAGAGCUCGAAGGUCGGAUUCGGUCAGAGACGUAUCACACUAUCAAUCUCAAGAUCUCGGUAUAUAAAGAAACUUUAAUUUGGAAAUCAAUGGCAUGUAUAAGCUAGUAAAGUAAAUGUUAAUGUGAAAUGAAUGUAUGGUUAGUCAUUGGUAUGGCUAACAAAUUUUGGUUUUGUUAUGUGAUGAGGUUAUCUUAUGAAUACGUUAAAUCUAUCUUGAAAAUAUGUUGAAAUUGAUUGGUUGUGU